UCCAAAAGUCAGUUGUACCAACACUUGA
rnacentral:piRNA from 1 species